rnacentral:lncRNA from 1 species
GCCUGUCUUCUCUCUACACCAUGAGAUUAAUAGUGGAUGGAACACUCCAUUGCAACCUAACAAACUAAGACCACAAAGAACUACCUCUAGCAAAGCUAAUCCUUUGAGAGGAAAUAGGAAUAUUUUCCCUUUCUGUUUUUGUGUCUAUUUUGGAAGCUUGAUUUUAAGAUUAUUAGAGUUUGCGCUAGCUAGAAUGCCUGUGGAUUGAAGAUGCAAGGCUGGAGUUUCCUAAGUGCUUGAAGUCAAGAGACCUUGAUUCCAGAUAAAUGAAGAAUACUUUGGAAGAUGAGGAAACUGAGGUAAAUAGGGCUAAGUGACUUUCCCAAGGUCAUAUAACUAGUAAGCAUCUGAGGUCAUGUUUGAACUCAGAUCUUCUUGACUCCAGACCCAGCUCUCUAUCCAAUGGGCCACCAAAGGAAUCAAAAGAGAAACAAUGACUCUUGCCUUUUGGAAUUGGUAUUCUUGAAUCCCCCCCAAAGCUGUUGCUGCUGUCCAAGAUGGCAUCAUCUGGCAUGAAGGAGAUUGUGAAAAAUGAUUACUCACAAUUUUCUUGUCACUGUACAAAGUAAAUUACAUGCAGAAUCCAAAGCUCUUGUUCAAUGUUAAUCAACUGUCAUUAAUCAGCCAGUUCAAUAAGAAUUAUUUGAUGCCACGCACCAGGCAG